rnacentral:rRNA from 1 species
AACGCCGCGUGAAUGAAGAAGGCCUUCGGGUUGUAAAGUUCUUUUAAUCGUGAAGAUGAUGACAGUAGCGAUAGAAAAAGCACCGGCUAACUUCGUGCCAGCAGCCGCGGUAAUACGAAGGGUGCAAGCGUUGUUCGGAUUUACUGGGCGUAAAGCGUCCGUAGGUGGUUUGUUAAGUCAGGGGUGAAAUCCCAGGGCCCAACCCUGGAACUGCCUUUGAUACUGGCAAGCUGGAGCGUGAUAGAGGAAGAUGGAACAUCUGGUGUAGGGGUGAAAUCCGUAGAUAUCAGAUAGAACACCAAUGGCGAAGGCAGUCUUCUGGAUCAUUGCUGACACUGAGGGACGAAAGCGUGGGUAGCAAACAGAAUUAGAUACUCUGGUAGUCCACGCCCUAAACGAUGUGUGCUUGUUGUUGGUUCCCUUCGGGGUAUCAGUGACGUAGCUAACGCGUUAAGCACACCGCCUGGGGAGUACGAUCGCAAGAUUAAAACUUAAAGGAAUUGACGGGGACCCGCACAAGCGGUGGAGUAUGUUGUUUAAUUCGAUGCUACGCGAGAAACCUUACCGACCCUUGACAUCCCGCACGCGACUUCCAGAGAUGGUUGUCUUCUAUUCGGUAGGUGCGGAGACAGAUGCUGCAUGGCUGUCGUCAGCUCGUGUCGUGAGAUGUUAGGUUAAGUCCUGCAACGAGCGCAACCCACGCCCUAUGUUGCCAGCGGGUAAUGCCGGGAACUCUUAGGGGACCGCUCGCGUCAAGCGAGAGGAAGGUGUGGAUGACGUCAAGUCAUCAUGGUUCUUACGGGUCGGGCUACAAACGUACUACAAUGGCGUCAACAAUGGGUCGCAAUGUCGCAAGGCAAAGCCAAUCCUUAAAAGACGCCCCAGUUCAGAUUGCCCUCUGCAACUCGAGGACAUGAAGUUGGAAUCGCUAGUAAUCGCUGAUCAGAAUGCAGCGGUGAAUACGUUCCCGGGUCUUGUACACACCGCCUGUCAAACCAUGAGAGUCGAUUUCACCCGAAGUCGGUAGUUUAACGCAAGAGAACGCCGCCUACGGUGGGGUUGGUGAUUGGGGUUAAGUCAUAACAAGGUAGCAGUACCGGAAGGUGCGGCUG